rnacentral:rRNA from 1 species
UACAGAGGUCCCGAGCGUUGUUCGGAUUCAUUGGGCGUAAAGGGUGCGUAGGCGGCUUGCUAAGUUUGAUGUGAAAUCCUGGGGCUCAACCCUGGGACUGCAGUGGGUACGGGCUGACUAGAGUGCGGUAGGGGAGACUGGAAUUCCUGGUGUAGCGGUGAAAUGCGCAGAUAUCAGGAGGAACACCGAUGGCGAAGGCAGGUCUCUGGGACGGUACUGACGCUGAGGCGCGAAAGCGUGGGGAGCAAACAGG